AUGAAAAAAGGCUUCCGCGAAAAAAACUGGAGCGGGCAGACACUCAAUCCCGUCGAGAUCAUCGUUGUGGGGAGAGGCAGUUGGCCAGCUCUGUUUUUGAAGCGUGAAAACUCACCUUUUGUGAACCGUACAUAUUUUCCACGUCGUAUUUUCAAAAGUCUAAAGUAAAAGUUGAUCUUAUUUCAUUUCACGAAUAUGAAAAAAA
rnacentral:misc_RNA from 1 species